rnacentral:lncRNA from 1 species
AAGAUCCAUAUUUUGUGACAAGGCAAUCGAUCAGUAACAUUGUAUGCUUCACAAUUUCGACAACUUACCAGUGAUAUCAAGUGGGAUGAUGCUGCACUUAUUAGCCAAUUUCUCUACAGAUUACAAUAUGAGGUAAAAAAACUAAUGCUCAACUUACAUGAUCCUCAAACAUUGAGUCAAGCAAUUGACUUUGCUGCAAAGUGCGACAGUUGUCUUUUUAAAUUUUGAUAUGACAUACGUACAAGUGGACCUCAACAUUACUAUAAUUGAAUGGCAACACCAACAUCUCUUCAACACAUACAUUCAGAAGUAGAAGAUAUGCAAAUUGAUGUGGUACAUUUCAAACCUCUUCUUCAGUAAGAAAAGAGUCAUCAUCGUCAUGAAAGAUUGUGCUUAUAUUCUGGAGAACCUAAGUACACUGCUCAACAUUACUCAAAAAAAUGACACAACCAUAAAAUUAAGAGUAUGGCUAUCAAAGAAGAUAGCAUAUCGGAUAACAAAUUUGUCCAGCUAUAAUAGGGACCGUGCGGUUGGAACCUUGUACAAUACCUAGUGAAGGUCCUAUCCUCUCCUCA